CGAAAUGCGAUAAGUAAUGUGAAUUGCAGAAUUCAGUGAAUCAUCGAAUCUUUGAACGCACAUUGCGCCCGCCAGUAUUCUGGCGGGCAUGCCUGUUCGAGCGUCAUUUCAACCAUCAAGCCCCCGGCUUGUGUUGGGGACCUGCGGCUGCCCGCAGGCCCUGAAAAACAGUGGCGGGCUCGCUGUCACACCGAGCGUAGUAGCAUACAUUCUCGCUCAGGGCGUGCUGCGGGUUCCGGCCGUUAAACGACCUUCAUAACCCAAGGUUGACCUCGGAUCAGGUAGGAAGACCCGCUGAACUUAAGC
rnacentral:misc_RNA from 1 species